GACGAACGCUGGCGGCGUGCCUAAUACAUGCAAGUCGAGCGAGUCUGCCUUGAAGAUCGGAGUGCUUGCACUCUGUGAAACAAGAUACAGGCUAGCGGCGGACGGGUGAGUAACACGUGGGUAACCUGCCCAAGAGAUCGGGAUAGCACCUGGAAACAGAUGCUAAUACCGGAUAACAACAGAUGAUGCCUAUCAACUGUUUAAAAGAUGGUUCUGCUAUCACUCUUGGAUGGACCUGCGGUGCAUUAGCUAGUUGGUCGGGUAACGGCCUACCAAGGCGAUGAUGCAUAGCCGAGUUGAGAGAAUGAUCGGCCACAUUGGGACUGAGACACGGCCCAAACUCCUACGGGAGGCAGCAGUAGGGAAUCUUCCACAAUGGACGCAAGUCUGAUGGAGCAACGCCGCGUGAGUGAAGAAGGGUUUCGGCUCGUAAAGCUCUGUUGUUGGUGAAGAAGGACAGGGGUAGUAACUGACCUUUGUUUGACGGUAAUCAAUUAGAAAGUCACGGCUAACUACGUG
rnacentral:rRNA from 1 species